rnacentral:lncRNA from 1 species
GGGAGCAUGGAAGAAUCUGAAGUAAGACUAUUUCCACAAAGAAACUUGAGAUCCCAGCUGUGCAACUGAAUUCACGUGGGUGGAACCUGGAACCCAUGCAUCUCUGUCGUCUUUACUGGGAGUCCACACCGCUUUAAGAAUGGAUCAGAUGUCAACAUCAGCCGCAGAUUGUCAAUUGUAACACUUCCAGGUGGUUACCACAUCAAGCAUCCCAAGCAGCAUAUUGCUGGAAGUGCCACAUAACAGGUUAACUCUUGAAAGCAGAAGAAAAGGAGUGGGCUCAAAGGAUAUCUUGUUUUUUCCAAGCCAAGUGCUGUUUUCUUGAACCUCUUGUAAAUGGAAGACCUCUGCUAAAGGGUAAGGAUAU